UUAUUAUUUAUUAUAAUGUUAACAAGUUGGGUUAUUUCUGUAAUUGUGCUAGGCUUAAGGUUAAGCCUAUAUAUAUACUUCUUGUGUUUUCUUUGUAACUUAACAAAAAUAGAAGAGAGAGAAAGCCAACUUUUUCCACAUGGUAUCAGAGCAUUGGCUCUCUUUUCUCUCUCUCUCUUCAUCUCCUCCAGCUCGUGCCCUACCCGUGCGAGCUCUCCUUCUCGCCUCCAGCUGGUGCGACUAAGCUGCUCCAGCUGGUGCGACCUGCUCCAGCUCACUUGGCGGGAGAAGUGAGCCCGGUUGAAGUUUUGGGUCACACUCAUUUCUCGCCUCUAGCUUGUGCGACUGAGCCGCCUCCCUCUCCUGUUCGCCGCGUGCUCAAGGCCGAUCGUGGUCCUCAAUUUCAUGUGGAACCUGGUCUUCGCGGUGGUCGUGCUCCUGUCCGCCUUCAAGGAGAGGUUGUCCACUCCUCUAAGGCUGUGGCUCUGCGGAUGAUUAGUCAAAGAUCACGUGGGUGUGAGCGGACUGUCGCGGCUGCCGAUUCGCAGCAGGUGAGGCCUCGAUUCGUGUAUUCUGAGACGUUACAUUGGUGUAUUGCCCGUGUUGUUGCUGUUCCGAGCUGAAAAUUGAAGCUUUAUGGGUUGUAAGGACUCGUUUAAUUGUUAUUGUGGUGUCAUUUUGAAUCGAUCAGUGAGUUUUUUAUGAGGUGAUCAAUCUAUGUUGGUGAUAGUAGUAGUUGGCUAAGGGACGUGUGAUCACUAGACAUUGGUUCUUUAUUUGGAAGUGGUGUUGAAGACAGAUUUUUGUUGGGGGUUUCCGAUUAGUCAAAUUUGUGGAUAUGUCUACGGAUCCAGCAAACUCUCCGUCUAAUGUUUCAGGGGUGAUCCCUCCUAAUGCUACUUCUAGUUCAGGGUCUUUUGGUACCUAUCAGAGUGGUACUCAUGGUAUGACAGGCUUACACACUACCUUGGUUAAGUUGGAUGGUACCAAUUAUCCUACUAGGUCAAUGGCUCUUUCUACUUUUAUUUAUGCUAAUCGUCAGUCUAGAUGGCUUGAAGAGGAACCACCUGCAGAUCCAGCUAGUCAAGAAGAAUGGAAGGUCACUGAUGCUACAUUGCAUACUCUUUUAUGGGGGAGUAUGGCUGAAUCUGUCCGCCAUCUUUUCAUGGAUUGUACGACAGCCCGUGAGCUAAAAUUGGUGAUGCCGGGUUGGGAGAGUAUUAUGCUCGUUUUUCAUUCUUUGUAUCAACGUCUCAAAUCCUACCUUCCACCGGCUACCACGGUUACUCAAAUGCAACAACGAGAAGUGAAUAUGGUGGUAGUCCU